rnacentral:misc_RNA from 1 species
UCCCUGUUGCCAGGGCAGUCUAGCCAGAGAAAUCCAACUGGCUAAAAGGGUUGCGCUCGUUGAUGGACUUAACCAAACAUCUCACGACACGAGCUGACGACGGCCAUGCAGCACCUGUCACCGAGUUCAAUAAAGCACUCUCACCUUUCGGCAAGAUUCUCGGGAUGUCAAACCUGGGUAAGGUUCUUCGCUUACCAUCGAAUUAAACAACACGCUCCACCGCUUGUGCGGGUCCCCGUCAAUUCCUUUAUGUUUUAAGCUUGCGCUCGUACUCCACAGGCGGGAUGCUUAACGCGUUAGCUUCGCUACUAGAAGGGUCGAUACUUCUAACAGCUAGCAUCCAUAGUUUACGGCGUGGACUAC